rfam:Camelus ferus unplaced genomic scaffold scaffold1525, whole genome shotgun sequence.
GAGAGUAUAGCUCAGUUGGUAGAGUGUACACUUAGCAUGCACAAGGUCCUGGAUUCAAUCUCCAGUACCUCCA